AAUAAAGUGCCUGAUAAAAGGACUAUUUUGAUAGAAUAGAUGAUACUCUCUUGAGUCUUUGUUA
rnacentral:tRNA from 1 species